rnacentral:rRNA from 1 species
GGUGAACGCUGGCGGCAGGCCUAACACAUGCAAGUCGAACGGCAGCACAAGAGAGCUUGCUCUCUGGGUGGCGAGUGGCGGACGGGUGAGGAAUGCAUCGGAAUCUGCCCAUUUGUGGGGGAUAACCUCGGGAAACCGGGACUAAUACCGCAUACGUCCUACGGGUGAAAGCAGGGGAUCUUCGGACCUUGCGCAGAUGGAUGAGCCGAUGCCGGAUUAGCUAGUUGGAGGGGUAAAGGCACACCAAGGCGACGAUCCGUAGCUGGUCUGAGAGGAUGAUCAGCCACACUGGGACUGAGACACGGCCCAGACUCCUACGGGAGGCAGCAGUGGGGAAUAUUAGACAAUGGGCGCAAGCCUGAUCCAGCCAUGCCGCGUGUGUGAAGAAGGCCUUCGGGUUGUAAAGCACUUUUGUUGGGAAAGAAAAGCAGCCGGUUAAUACCCGGUUGUCAUGACGGUACCCAAAGAAUAAGCACCGGCUAACUUCGUG